CUCUGGAUGGUGCUCCCAGGAGAGUGGACAGAGGACAGGGAGGAGUUCCUGGCAGGAUCCUUGUCACAUCACCAACCCCACCCACAAACCGGGAGAGAGGAUGAACUCAUUUUCAUUUUGUGAGAGUUGGAGCUGAGAAAGUGGAGCCCCGGUCAGAUCUCCCAGAAGGCUGAGAGGUGAAGGAUGGGUGGGGGGCUGACCAGCAUGGAGGCCUAGCCUCCAUGUUCCUAAGCCCCAGCUCCCCUGGGCCAGGCAGGCAAUAAACAUUGAAGGCAGGAGAGUCAGGCCUAUGGAAGGCAGGCACAUGAAAGGGGUGGCUGCUGCAGAAUGUGGGGGGCACUCGUGGCCUCUGGGCCCCUGGUAGGGUGGUGGCUUAGGAGACCUAGUGGUUCAGGAGUUGCUAGAUGAGCGGAACCCUUUUACCCAGCAUGUAUACACAUAAUCAGGCACACACCACCAGUCACAGACACAUACACAAUCACACACAACCACACAGUCAUGCACGCACAAUCAUAUGCAUAAGUUAAAUGCUAUAAGGGGCUGAGGGAAAGCCAGUGUGGGUACUAGGACUGAAGGGACACAGUGGGGGUCAGGCAUUAGCACAGAAGGUUAAGUGCACAUGGCACAAAGCACAAGGACUGGCAUAAGGAUCCUGGUUCGAGCCCCUGGCUCCCCACCUGCAGGGGGUUGCUUCAUGAGCGGUGAAGCAGGUCUGCAGGUGUCUCUCUCUUCCCUCUCUGUCUUCCCUUUAUCUCUCCAUUUCUCUAACCUAUCCAACAACAACAACAACAAUAAAAACAAUAAAACAAUAAGGAUAACAAAAGGGAAAAAAAUAACCUCCAGGAGUAGUGGAUUUAUAGUGCAGGCAUUCAGCCUCAGUGAUAACCCUGGAGGCAAAAAAAAAAAAAAAAAGGGACACAGUGAUCCCAGUGGCUGAUGAUACAUAUCCUAGAUGUCCUAAGCACCAUUUAUUAGGUCCUGCCUGGUGACCUUCUGUGACCUUGUAGCAGAAUGAAAAUGACCCAAGGUGGUUCUAGAGAGAAGAAUGAAUGGAAAGAGACACACUAGUGGACCCAAGCAUAGGGCUACUGAGACAGAGAAACUGGAAUGGAAGGGGAAGAUACAGAGAGAAAAAGAGAUCUACAGCACUUCCUUACCCUUGUGAAGCUUUCCCCCACCACUUGAGACUUGAACCUGGGUAAGGACCCAGGAAGCCAGCCGUUCCCCAAGGAAGAGCAUGAUUUAAGACAGGCCUGCAGAAACCAGCUCCACAGGCUGAGCAUCAGAACCUCUAUCUCCCAGAUAAACGAGGGCAGACGAUCACAAGAGAGUGGUCAGGCCCAGGAGGAACCAGCCUCAGGCAGCUGCAGAGGUAAUGAGCCUGGCUACAAGGUUGACACCUGGACUAAUAGGCAGUUAGUGA